GAGUUAGAUCCUGGCUCAGAUUGAACGCUAAAGGGAUGCCUUACUCAUCCAAGUCGAACGGCAGCACGGACUUCGGUCUGGUGGCGAUUUGCGAACGGGUGAGUAAUGUAUCGGAACGUGCCCAGUAGCGGGGGAUAAAUACGCGAAGGCGUAGCUAAUACCGCAUACGCCCUACGGGGGAAAGCGGGGGAUCGCAAGACCUCGCACUAUUGGAUCGGCCGAUAUCGGAUUAGCUUGUUGGUAGGGUAAAGGCCUACCAAGGCAGUGAUCCGUAGCUGGUUUGAGAGGACGACCAGCCACACUGGGACUGAGACACGGCCCAGACUCCUACGGGAGGCAGCAGAGGGGAAUUUUGGACAAUGGGGGAAACCCUGAUCCAGCCAUCCCGCGUGUGCGAUGAAGGCCUUCGGGUUGUAAAGCACUUUUGGCAGGGAAGAAACGGCGCUGGUUAAUACCUGGCGCAACUGACGGUACCUGCAGAAUAAGCACCGGGUAACUAUGUGCCAGCAGCCGCGGUGGUGCGGCCCUUUGACUGU
rnacentral:rRNA from 1 species